AGUGGUUUGAUCAGUUCGGGACUGAUCCGGACUCUUGUCAGCUUUAGUUUGCUCGCGAGCUGAUCUGGCAAACGGGAAUGCCUUGUGCACAGUGAAGUGCAAGGAGAAGGUUAAGGGAUUCACAGGGACGAGGGCCGAAGAGUGGUGACAACUUUAAGCUGCCAUAUGAGCUGGCUGAUAAACUGAAGGCUGCAGGUGACAGCUCACCAGACGUUUGUCAGACAGUUGUUGCCAUUAACAAAGGCCCAGAGACACCCAUCUUCCAAGUGGCUGACUACGGUUUGGUGACAGAUCUUUUCAAGAUGCGUAGAGUGAUGAUGAGGCUGAUGGCAUCCCAGGGGCUGCUGGGCCCGUUGGCCACUGUGGAGGCCACCAUGGGGGCCAGGGACAGCACGAUGACAGCACCAUCAAACACCUGAGGGGUCAUACACACAAA